rnacentral:rRNA from 1 species
CCAAAAAUACUUUCCACGUGAACUGUCUUACGAGAUUCGCGCCGUGACGUGUGUUGUCGCUGUGUGUGCUGUAUUUAUAUCGUGCGCAUGGUGUCGACUGCGUGGGUCGGCUGAUCGAAGGUCGCGUUGUGCUUUAUUGCGCAUUGCGGCUGACUUAUUCUUUCAAACCCAUUUCUUUAUUACUGAUUCAUACUGUGAGGACGAAAGUCUUUGCUUUUACUAGAUAACAACUUUCAGCAGUGGAUGUCUAGGCUCGCACAUCGAUGAAGAACGCUGCGAACUGCGAUACGUAAUGCGAAUUGCAGAAUUCAGUGAGUCAUCGAAAUUUUGAACGCAUAUUGCACUUUCGGGUUAUACCUGGAAGUAUGUCUGUAUCAGUGUCCGUAAAUCAAACUUGCCUCUCUUUGUCGGUGUAGUCCGGCUUGGAGUGCGCAGAUGUGAAGUGUCUCGCGCUACGUCAGUCUUUAUUGUACUAGGCGCGCGAGUCCUUUUAAAUGGACACGAUCUUUCUAUUGCUUUCUGCGGAGCGCAUCAUUUGAACGCGGCGGUCUUGGGAUCGCCUGCAGUCGAUAGCGACUUUGGUAGAGACAUAUGGAAGAACCCUCAUUUCGCGGUACGUUAGGCUUCGGCUCGACAAUGUUGCGUAGUGAGUGUGUUGUUUCGUCUUUGCUUUGAGGUGUACUGUCGGUUGUGGGCUUGAACCCAAGUAUUGUGUGUUAGUAGAGUGUGUCGAUUUCUGUGGUUAGCGUCUAUGUGUGGCUUUAUGUCGUACGUAGGUAGAAGGGUAUCAUUUGGGAAACAUUGUACUGCGCGCUGCAAGGCGUGUGUGUAUCUCACUUGGACCUGAUAUCAGACAAGACUACCCGCUGAACUUAAGCAUAUAUAGCG